UACGGGGGGGGCAAGCGUUGUUCGGAAUUACUGGGCGUAAAGGGUGCGUAGGCGGUUCGCUAAGUUGGAUGUGAAAACUCUGGGCUUAACCCAGAGCCUGCAUUCGAUACUGACGGGCUAGAGUUCUGGAGGGGAAAGCGGAAUUCCUGGUGUAGCGGUGAAAUGCGUAGAUAUCAGGAGGAACACCGGUGGCGAAGGCGGCUUUCUGGACAGAAACUGACGCUGAGGCGCGAAAGCUAGGGGAGCAAACAGG
rnacentral:rRNA from 1 species